UACGAAGGGGGCUAGCGUUGCUCGGAAUCACUGGGCGUAAAGCGCACGUAGGCGGCUUUCUAAGUCAGGGGUGAAAUCCUGGAGCUCAACUCCAGAACUGCCUUUGAUACUGGAGAGCUUGAGUCCGGGAGAGGUGAGUGGAACUCCGAGUGUAGAGGUGAAAUUCGUAGAUAUUCGGAAGAACACCAGUGGCGAAGGCGGCUCACUGGCCCGAUACUGACGCUGAGGCACGAAAGCGUGGGGAGCAAACAGG
rnacentral:rRNA from 1 species